rfam:Gossypium arboreum cultivar AKA8401 contig_4993_1, whole genome shotgun sequence.
AAUUAAAAAUUUCAUCCAAUUCUAUUGUUAAAAAUAAAUAUUACUAACAGAAUAGCUAGAUAAUUAUAUAUGACUGUCACGUGCACCUCAUUUUGAUAUACAAUGACUAAUUUUUAAUAGUAUAAAUGGAUGAAAUUUUUAAUA